UGCUGCAUAAAAAAACUACACACCAGGAAUCUAUAGAGGGCAUUGACAAGCCACACAGCCACAAUGGAGUGUGCACUGGAUAUUCCCUCAGGUGAGGAUGAAGUGAAUGAGAAAGACGCUAUAAUUGCCAAAGCGGAGACUGAGAUGCCCCACAAGAAAAACAAGAAACACAAAAAACACAAGAGCAAGAGAAAGAAAAGGAAAAGAAAGGGUGAGAAAGAGAGCAGUUCAGAAUCUGGAGCAGAUUCUGAUGCAGAGCCACCUCCAUCUCCACCUAAACCUGUUAGGACUACCAGAGCCAGUGCCAGACUUGCAGCGGCUGCUAAUACUGGAAGCUCAGGUGUACUGAAGGAAGACAGCAGAAAGGAUCCAAUUACAGAAGGAGAUGCAAAACCUAAAAAACAUAAAAGGCAUGCAGCCAAAAAGAAAAAGAAAAAGAAGAAGAAGGAUGAAAAACAAGGAAAAAAAUCACAAUCUCAGUCGCAAUCUGAAAGCAGUUCAGUUUCUGGUUCCGAGUCUGAUGUUGAGGGCGGUAAAGUUGCUGUUGAGAAAUGUUCUCCAGCUGCAGCAUCUGACAUCCAAGAGCCAGUAUCCAGAUUUGUUUCUAAGAGUAAACGUGGAGUGGAAAAUUUUGGUCCCAGUAUUCCUAAAAAGUCUGAGUCUUCUGAAAAGAUGAAAGAGGAAGUAACCGAAAUGGAGGCAUCACCAACUAAAGAAAAGGAUUGUAGUAACAACUCGUUAAUCAAGGAUGAAACGGUACCAUCUACAGGUCAAGAUGGUAUAGCAACAGUUGAUGUCAAAAUUGAAGACAAUUCGGUAGAUGGUGCAUUCAGUCAUGCUCAGGAAUUGCCGGACAUCAUCCCAAAACAGGAAGGUGCUACCCCAAAGGAUGAUCCAGGACUGAAAGAUCUGCCCCAUUUAGGUCAGGUGUCACCAGUCAAAGAACCUGAAUCCGUUAUGAGCCCUUCCCAUUCUGAAGAGCCAGACAUCAGAAGACCUGAAUCACCACCCAGACGAACACCAUCACCAAGUCUCAAAGAGCAUUCUGUUGAUCAGAUAAUGGAAACUGUAGAAGAACGGUCAAGAACUCGUUCAAGGUCUCCUUCAAAAGGCAAACAAGCUUCAACUUUUUCAAAGAGUGCACUGCUUUCACAUCCAUUGUCUCGUUCUCCAUCUCCUAAAUCAACAAAGAAGUCUGUUUCUCCACCUCUAAAGUCUCCCAAGAAAUGUAUUUAUUUGUUUCGAUCUACUUCUCGGUCACUCAGCCCUAAAAGGAAAGUUUCAAGGUCCCCGAAACGAAGAAAAAGUUCCAUUUCAGUUUCUCCCAGACGUCGUCGAAGUUCUCCAUCUCCUAGGAAAAAGGUGUUGCGAUCACCAAAACGCGGAGGACGCAGGUCCCCUUCUCUUUCUCACUCUCCAAGAAGAAGUCGGAGGUCAGAAUCGCGUUCCCGUGGGGGAACAAGACGAUCAAGAACCCGCUCGCCAAGAAGAGGUGGUGGAUCUGGCAGACGUUCACGUUCUGUCAAUAAAACCCGCCGCUCCCGUUCAAGAUCUAGACGUUCUGGUCGACGGUCAAGAUCACCAAGGAGGCGUAUAGGGGGAAGGCACUCCAGGAGUCCCUCUUUGUCUCGACGGAGGAGGUCACCACCCCCCCGAUCCCGACGCUCUCGGUCAAUUCGCAAGAGCAGGCGAACUCGAUCUCGUUCAGCUGGCAAGCGCAGCCGUCGCUCCAGAUCCAGCAGUCUUCGAAGACGUACUAAAUCCAGAACCCCUCCUCCCCGACGGCGCUCUAAAUCUCGUACACCUGUCAGGAGGCGCUCUCGUUCGCCUGCUAGAAGGAACCGUUCCCCACCAAGGUCUAUGAAACGUCCUAGAUCCCGUUCUUUGUCCAGAAGGCACAGGUCAAAAUCCCACUCACCUCAGCCCAGCAGGAGAAAGUCCAAAUCUCCACCUAAAAGGGAGAGAAAAUCAAAGUCCAGAUCGUUUUCCGUGGAGGUAACCAGAUCUAAAUCCAGAUCCAAGUCAAAAUCAAGUGAAAGGAACUCUGAGAGCUCUUCCCCAGCCAGAUCCACAGCUUCCUCCCCAGUUAAAAUAUUUUCUCCCGCAAAAGAGACAGCUGCAGAAAAUGGCGCUGUUUCCACCUCUCUAGGUGGUUGGAAGCCUGUGCCCUUUACGACUGUUUCUGACUGUAAAGAUGAAGAUUCUUCAGAUAAACUGGAGGAUCAGUCGUCCCUCAGCCAUGACAAUGAGCAGACAAAACAAGUUUCCCCCCCAAUGUCCCCCAUUGCAAGAGACGUCUCUAGGCCCAGGUCUGUGUCUCCAGAGCAAGGCACUGGCCAGGAAGGUUCAGAAUGCUCUGAUGGCUUUGAGGAAGAAAACAAAUCUCCAGUUAAAAGUUUGCCUAAAAGCCCGAAAAGCUCCUCUCGUUCAGCUUCUCCAGAAAUCCAGGAAAAGCCAUUAUCAAAGUCUCGCUCGCCUGAACAAAGGAAACGUUCACGUUCAACCUCUUCACCUCGUCGUUCAACAUCCAAGUCCAAGUCUAGGAAAAAGCUCUCCAGAUCAAGGUCUCCUGGCCGAAAAAGAGAAUCAGUCUCUCCAUCAGAAAGAAAGAAGCGGCGGUCCAAAUCCCGUAGCCCUGCCCGAAGACGGAGGUCAACAUCACGCUCUGCAGCACGACGAAAGCGAUCCAAGUCCCGAACCAGAGCCCGUAGGUCCAAGUCCCGUUCUCCACCACGCAAGCGACGAUCACGCUCACGUUCAACAAAUGGGCGAGGAAGAAGAAAGUCCAUGGACAGGAGUAAGAGAUCCAAGAGCCGUUCCGCAGGUAGGAGGAAAAGGUCGCGAUCAGGAGACAGAAGCAGACGAUCAAAGUCUCGUUCCACUGAUCGGAGACGUAGGUCCAGAUCCAGAGGCCGGGGAAGGCGUCCACCAUUUCGCAGUCGUUCUUUCGACAGAAGGGACAGGUGGAAGAGGGAGCCUAGCCACUCUCCUGUUCUUAUCCUACGCAAACAGCGGCGCUCAGGAUCCAGGACAAGGCGGAGCCCUAGCAAGACUCCUCCUCGACUCACUGAACUGGAUAAGGACCAGUUACUGGAGAUUGCCAAGGCUAAUGCAGCUGCCAUGUGUGCUAAAGCAGGCGUCCCUAUUCCUGAGAGUCUUCGGCCGAAAGCUAUCCUCCAGCUUCCCUUGCCCACACCAUCUCCCGGUCCGCUGUCUUUGCCUCUACCUCUUCCUCUUCCAAUGGGCAUGGGGAUGCAUAGCAUGCCAAAUAUGCCCAACAUGGGGCCAUUGGGGUUGGGUAAUAUUCCAGGAAUGCCCAUGUCUAAUAUGACAAUGAGUGCCGCUAUGGCGAGCAUGACAGCAGCGACCAUGACUGCUGCUCUGACCAACAUGGGUGCUCUGGCGGCCAUGCCUCCCCUCGCCCCCCUUCCAACCAUCACUAACAAACCUCCCCCCUGCCUUGCACCUCCAACACCUUCAUUAAACCUGGACCACAUCGAGGAAGCAAAGAGGAAGGUCACCCAGCAGGCCAACAUACAUACCAUCAAGGAGCUUACUGAGAAGUGCAAGAUGAUCGCAAACAGUAAAGAAGAAAUGGCCAUCGCUCGACCCCAUGUCUCAGAUGAUGAAAGCUAAAACUGCUCGGCUCUCAUGCCGCCUCCCUCACAGUUCUUUCCUUUAAGCGGAUGACCGAGCUCGAUGGAUGAGGACCUUGGUUGUCAUAGUCACGACGCAGGAGCACCUGCACCCCACCAUGCCUCACUUGGCCUCCCAGUUUCUCUUUGUGAAAGUGUAGAACUGACCUGUAAUACCACUGCAAGAGGUGCACACACUGACCCUGAGUGACCCUGCAGUGUGUCCCAAGUUCGUGCGUGUGUAUAUAGUGACUUUUACCUUCCAUCUCACAGUGUUGCUUAGCCAAGCAGCCGCCUCAAGCAAAGACUGAUGAGGUUACACACUAAACUAACUAGUGCUGAUAGUGUUUUGUGAAAGUUCCCUUGAACUUCUUUAUUUUUUGAGUUCUUGAAGUUUGUGUUCAGUGAUGGCUGCUUUUCUUGCUCUGCUGUGUCCACCUCCAUCAUUGUUUAGGACCUUGUUUUAUUCAUAUUUCCAUAGUGUAUAUGAAGUUAGACUGUAAUUUGUCACAGGGUUUUUGCCAGAAGUUGUUUAGCUCAGAAAUCCAAUGUCUUUAUUGGCAGUUUAAAUGAACAUUUUUCCCUUCCAGACUUGGGGUUUACUUUAUUUGGAAGUACCGGUAAGUUGGUAAUGCUUUUCUGUUCCUGUUUAAUCAGCUUCACUAAGAACAGCUGAUAUAACUGAGUUAAUGACAGUGCAGCUAGUGGGAGCCAAUAUUUCAAUUCAAAUUCACAUCACCUACAUUAUUGAGGAACAUGUUUGCAAAUUAUAUUUAAAGAGGAACAGUAUGUGCUGCUUAAACGCUCCCAUGUUGUAACAAACUGGUGGAAACCCUGUGUGACUCUUUUUUAUUAUUAUUACUAUUAUUAAUGAGUGUGACCACAUGUUGGUCAGUUAGGUUUAAUUUGAAGGAUGACAACAAAUGAACCAAUUGACAAAAAAGAGUCUUGAAUUGUAAGUAUAAUGCGUGUAUUUUCAGUCAUACAAGUCUGUUAUUUCAGCCCUAGGUGUGAGAUCUUUUCUUUUUUUUACAGCACAAGGCUUUUCUUUCACUGCUACCCUAGUCUUUCACUUGGGGUUUUUGAGGAUUUUUACUACAUGGAAACAUGUCGCUGUAGAUUUUCUUUGAGCUGUUUCUCUGUCAAAGUUUUAACACCAAUAUUUUACCACAAAAAUACGCCAUUAAAUUUCUCUGAACUUUAAAUCAUCCUUAAGUUUGUUUCAGCUGGAUCUUAAACUUUUGGACAAAAGAUGAUUUUAGUUUUCAUCAGAAGAAAAAAAUUGAGUCGUUCAUAUUACCCCCAAUCCAAUUGUAAAUAGAAAUAUACUUUAUUUGUUAACGAAUCAUUUUUUUUUCCUUACAUGUUGAUGACAAAGUCUGUGAUAAACAUUCUUUCUGAAUCCAAAUCAGAUUUUUGUCUUCUUGCCUGCAGUUAGACUAGACAGAAGCAGUUCACAUCAAUACUAUUCUCUUGUUGCUGCGUUGGAGGUGACGAGUGGCUUCAAUGUUGAGGCUUGAACUUUAACUGUUGUGCAUCAGAUAUUGAGAAUUAAGCAUGCAAGAUAUUCAUACAGUAUGUUGAGUUGGGAAACGUUUCUAAAAACGAGAGAAGACAAAAACAUGAAAACCCAAUCUGCCCAAAUCCUGCUGAUGUAUUUGCUCUACAGUUCCGUUAAAUGCUGUUAUUGCACAAUGUGUGUGCUGUGUAACACAUUUAAUCUAAUACAUUUUUCCAGUUAGAUUAAAGCAAACCAAAGCUUGGGUGGAUGCUUUACAAUAAACUUAAAAGGAAGAACUAAAGAAAACUGGUU
rnacentral:lncRNA from 1 species